UAUCGGCGAGGGCUCCUGCCUAAGUCCCCUGGAACGGGGCGUCAUAGAGGGUGAGAAUCCCGUAUGCGGUAGGUUGCCUUAGCCAUGUGAAUCUCCUUCGACGAGUCGAGUUGUUUGGGAAUGCAGCUCUAAAUGGGAGGUAAAUUUCUUCUAAAGCUAAAUACCGGCCAGAGACCGAUAGCGCACAAGUAGAGUGAUCGAAAGAUGAAAAGCACUUUGGAAAGAGAGUUAAAAAGUACGUGAAAUUGUUGAAAGGGAAGCGCUUGCAACCAGACUUGUCCGCAGUUGCUCAGCCGGUCUCCUGACCGGCGUACUCUUCUGCGGCCAGGCCAGCAUCAGUUCGGGCGGUCGGAUAAAGGCCUCGGGAAUGUGGCUCCUCUCGGGGAGUGUUAUAGCCCGGGGUGCAAUGCGGCCAGCCUGGACUGAGGAACUCGCUUCGGCAAGGAUGCUGGCGUAAUGGUUGUAAGCGGCCCGUCUUAAAAG
rnacentral:rRNA from 1 species